CUCCUUGAUUUGUUGUCUCGCGAGGCGCAGUGAGUCCAGUGAACUUUUGUCCGUGAUCGCGUAAACAAACACGAAUCCGUCGGCCCAGGAGGCCGUCUCGAGGCUGCACAGUUGGUGGCCGCCGCCGUUGGCCGUCAAAGACGACGAGCGGGACGGACAGGUGUCCACGAUCUCGAAGACCACCGUGUCCGAGUCCACCAUCGUCUCGUGCUUGUACCGCGUCUCUGCAUAAGGAGAAGAGGAUUCAGGAUGACUUCAAAAGUGGUCGGCAGGUGCUUGAGCAGCAACGGAAUCCAAUUACCGGCCCGCGUCCUUUUGUCCCCGGAGAACAAGGUUUCCUGAUUGAGGGACAAGGUUAGGCGGGGCUCAUGCCAGGGGUGAUGUCCGUCUGCAUGUAAACUACCCGGAAACCUGCACAGAUGAUAUAAGGUGGAAUUAAGAGUCGCCACAGAGAAGGGAUAAUUACCUGAUGGAAGAAACCACGGGCUUGAUUAAAAACAAAC